rnacentral:rRNA from 1 species
AGUGAACGCUGGCGGUAGGCCUAACACAUGCAAGUCGAACGGCAGCACAGUAGGAGUUUGCUCUUACGGGGGGCGAGUGGCGGGGGGGUGAGGUAUAUAGCGGACUCUACUUUUUCGGGGGGGAUAACGUAGGGAAACUUACGCCAAUAUCGCAUACGCCCCACGGGUGAAAGCAGGGGAUCUUCGGACCUUGCGCGAUGGUAUGCGCCGAUGGCGGAUUAGCUAGUUGGCGGGGUAAAGGCCCACCAAGGCGGCGAUCCGUAGCUGGUCUGAGAGGAUGAUCAGCCCCCCUGGAACUGAGACACCGUCCCGGCUCCUAAGGGAGGCAGCAGUGGGGAAUAUUGGACAAUGGGCGGAAGCCUGGUCCCGCCCUACCGCGUGGGUGAAAGAGGCCUUCCGGUUGGAAAGCCCCUUUGUUGGGAAAAAAAAGCAGCCGGUUAAUACCCCGCUGUUGUGACGGUAACCAAAAAAUAAGCACCGGCUAACUUCGUG